rnacentral:rRNA from 1 species
UACGGGGGGGGCAAGCGUUGUUCGGAAUUACUGGGCGUAAAGGGCUCGUAGGCGGCCAACUAAGUCAGACGUGAAAUCCCCAGGCUCAACCUGGGAACUGCGUCUGAUACUGGAUGGCUUGAAUCCGGGAGAGGGAUGCAGAAUUCCAGGUGUAGCGGUGAAAUGCGUAGAUAUCUGGAGGAAUACCGGUGGCGAAGGCGGCAUCCUGGACCGGCAUUGACGCUGAGGAGCGAAAGCGAGGGGAGCAAACGGG